rnacentral:rRNA from 1 species
AGGCGACGAAGUGGUUGAUACCAUGCUUCCAAGAAAAGCUCCUAAGCUUCAGAUAACUGGGAACCGUACCCCAAACCGACACAGGUGGUUAGGUAGAGAAUACCAAGGCGCUUGAGAGAACUCGGGUGAAGGAACUAGGCAAAAUGGCACCGUAACUUCGGGAGAAGGUGCGCCGGCGAGGGUGAAGGACUUGCUCCGUAAGCCCAUGCCGGUCGAAGAUACCAGGCCGCUGCGACUGUUUAUUAAAAACACAGCACUCUGCAAACACGAAAGUGGACGUAUAGGGUGUGACGCCUGCCCGGUGCCGGAAGGUUAAUUGAUGGGGUUAGCGCAAGCGAAGCUCUUGAUCGAAGCCCCGGUAAACGGCGGCCGUAACUAUAACGGUCCUAAGGUAGCGAAAUUCCUUGUCGGGUAAGUUCCGACCUGCACGAAUGGCGUAACGAUGGCGGCGCUGUCUCCACCCGAGACUCAGUGAAAUUGAAAUCGCUGUGAAGAUGCAGUGUAUCCGCGGCUAGACGGAAAGACCCCGUGAACCUUUACUAUAGCUUUGCACUGGACUUUGAAUUUGCUUGUGUAGGAUAGGUGGGAGGCUUUGAAGUGGGGACGCCAGUUCUCAUGGAGCCAUCCUUGAAAUACCACCCUGGCAACUUUGAGGUUCUAACUCAGGUCCGUUAUCCGGAUCGAGGACAGUGUAUGGUGGGUAGUUUGACUGGGGCGGUCUCCUCCCAAAGAGUAACGGAGGAGUACGAAGGUGCGCUCAGACCGGUCGGAAAUCGGUCGUAGAGUAUAAAGGCAAAAGCGCGCUUGACUGCGAGACAAACACGUCGAGCAGGUACGAAAGUAGGUCUUAGUGAUCCGGUGGUUCUGUAUGGAAGGGCCAUCGCUCAACGGAUAAAAGGUACUCCGGGGAUAACAGGCUGAUACCGCCCAAGAGUUCAUAUCGACGGCGGUGUUUGGCACCUCGAUGUCGGCUCAUCACAUCCUGGGGCUGAAGCCGGUCCCAAGGGUAUGGCUGUUCGCCAUUUAAAGUGGUACGCGAGCUGGGUUUAGAACGUCGUGAGACAGUUCGGUCCCUAUCUGCCGUGGACGUUUGAGAUUUGAGAGGGGCUGCUCCUAGUACGAGAGGACCGGAGUGGACGAACCUCUGGUGUUCCGGUUGUCACGCCAGUGGCAUUGCCGGGUAGCUAUGUUCGGAAGAGAUAACCGCUGAAAGCAUCUAAGCGGGAAACUUGCCUCAAGAUGAGAUCUCACUGGGAUCUUGAAUCCCCUGAAGGGCCGUCGAAGACUACGACGUUGAUAGGUUGGGUGUGUAAGCGCUGUGAGGCGUUGAGCUAACCAAUACUAAUUGCCCGUGAGGCUUGACCAU